rnacentral:rRNA from 1 species
GAUGAACGCUAGCGGCAGGCUUAACACAUGCAAGUCGAGGGGCAGCACGUCUUCGGAUGGUGGCGACCGGCGCACGGGUGCGUAACGCGUAUACAACCUACCUUAUAGAGGGGAAUAGCCCAGAGAAAUUUAGAUUAAUGCCCCAUAGUAUUAUUGAAUAGCAUUAUUUGAUGAUUAAACAUUUAUGGCUAUAAGAUGGGUAUGCGUUCUAUUAGCUAGAUGGUAAGGUAACGGCUUACCAUGGCAACGAUAGAUAGGGGUCCUGAGAGGGAGAUCCCCCACACUGGUACUGAGACACGGACCAGACUCCUACGGGAGGCAGCAGUGAGGAAUAUUGGACAAUGCCCGCAAGGGUGAUCCAGCCAUGCCGCGUGCAGGAAGACGGCCCUAUGGGUUGUAAACUGCUUUUACACCGGAGAAAACCCCUGCUCGUGAGCGGGGCUGAUAGUAUGGUGAGAAUAAGCAUCGGCUAACUUCGUGCC